AAGUCGAACGGUAACAGGCCGCUGUGAUCCCUUCGGGGUGAACUUGGCGCUGACGAGUGGCGAACGGGUGAGUAAUGCUUGGGAAUCUGCCCAGUAGUGGGGGACAACUCGGUGAAAACCGGGCUAAUACCGCGUACGUCCUACGGGAGAAAGUGGGGGAUCUUCGGACCUCACGCUAUUGGAUGAGCACAAGUCGGAUUAGCUUGUUGGUGGGGUAACGGCCUACCAAGGCGACGAUCCGUAGCUGGUCUGAGAGGACGAUCAGCCACACUGGGACUGAGACACGGCCCAGACUCCUACGGGAGGCAGCAGUGGGGAAUAUUGGACAAUGGGCGCAAGCCUGAUCCAGCAAUGCCGCGUGUGUGAAGAAGGCCCGCGGGUUGUAAAGCACUUUCAGUGGGGAAGAAAAGCUCGAGGCUAAUAUCCUCGGGUCUUGACGUUACCUACAGAAGAAGCACCGGCUAACUCCGUGCCAGCAGCCGCGGUAAUACGGGGGGUGCAAGCGUUAAUCGGAAUUACUGGGCGUAAAGCGCACGCAGGUGGCUAGGUUAGUCGGAUGUGAAAGCCCUGGGCUUAACCUGGGAAUUGCAUUCGAUAA
rnacentral:rRNA from 1 species